UUAUUGAAGUACGAUAACUUAAGUUUUAAACUAUUAAAUAUUACAUAUCUUUUCAUAAAGAAAGAUAUACAGAAUUAAUUUAAAAAAUAUAACAUCAUUAUAUUUAAUAUUUGAAUCUCCACGUAUUAUCAUACAUAUGAAGAAAAACGAUUUAGAAAUGAAAUAUGUUUCACACCCUAGGAAGAUAAAAACAAAAAUACCUUUUCCGUGAGAAACAUGCUUUUUAAUUAUUCAUAAAUCAUAAAACAUCACUAUGGCCUCUCGUACUUUUUGUCGAAGUCCGUUAUGUCAUCAGAGAUUUCGAUAGAUGAGCUGAUCAUUUUCAGACAUCUGAAAGGAAAAUGGCAUCGAGAACCUCGCAAUAAAAAAUUAAAAAAAAAAAAAAAAAAAAAAAAAAAUGUUAUAAAGAAAAACGAAAAAAUCCCUUCACCGAGAUCCGGGCCCCGAUCAUAAACUCUAAGUAUAAUAUUAAAUGCUUCCAAUACUGUACUAUUAAAACAGAAAAAAAUUAUUAUUACAACAUUUUUAUGAUUUUAUUCGUUCGGACGCGUAGGUAAGCGGUAUAUAUAUAUAUUAUAUAUAUAAUCUACAGAUCGAUAAUACUCGAGAAUUGUAUUUUAUAACGGUUUAUGCCUCUUUUUAUUUACACGUACCACGAGUGACAAGUGAUAUAUAUAUAUUAUAUUAUAUUAUAUAAAUAUAUAUAUUGUUAUUGAUAAAAAUUGAUAAAAAGAAACGAUGAAUUAUUCGGAGAUACACGGCAAAGAAUGUAAUGUUUAAAGAGUCGCGCCAAAAAAAUAGUGUCGUGUUCGAACGGGGUGCCACCGUUGCAUUUCCUCCGCGUCUAAAAGCUCCGGUUAUCCGCGACAGGCAUCGUGUCCGUACUACGAUAAAAAAAAUCCAGAUAUGAUGCUUAUAAUACUCAUUUAUUAUAGUGUUAAUAGUUAAGAAAUAUAUUUUUAUAUUAUUAUAAUAUUAUGACACGAUAUAUUAUAUAUAUAUAUAUAGUACUAAUCGAUCGCCGCGGAUCUGUGAACCCGCGACGAGUCUGUUCCUCGGCCGGUACAGAUACGCGAGAAUCUUCUAUUUUUAUUUUCUAGUUUUCGAAACUCGAUCGUAAACGAUUUAACGUUCCUGUGCAAUCUCUUUGUUAUUUUUCUCCGUUAUUUCUCAUCAUUAUGCUACGUUCUUUAUUUUCAUUGACUUGUUUUUGUUUGUACGAUUUCUUUAUAACAAUUUUUUAAUCGUUUGAUAUAUAUUAAUUUACCGGCAUUCCUUAAAUAUUUUUACUUUCUAUAAUUUUAUAUAAAAAUUUAUUUCGUGUUAAGUUUUGCUAUUAAUUUGAUUAUUCUUAUUUUCACACUUGAAAAAACCUCAAUUCUGUACUUUCACGACCAACGGGUUAGGACAUCAGGAAGGAAAAGCAGGAAAUUUACGAAGACAAUAUUACAUACGUAUAAGUGACUAAAAGAAUAAAAAAAUUAUAUAUAUAAAUAUAUAAAUAUAUAAAUAUAGAUAUAAAAAGAUAGAAAUAUUUGCUCUGAUUCGAGAGUAUUUGCAACCUGCUCGCCUCGAUGUAUGUAUGUACGUAUUAUUAAAUAACACACAGACUACAGUGUAAUUUUGCCAGCUUUCGCUCAUCGGCAUCGAUUAUGUCUCCGUUACUUCCUAAACAAAAAAAAAAAAAAAAAAAAAAAAAAAAAAAAAAAAAAAAAAAAAAAAAAAAAUACUCGUAUAAACAUGAAACAAACGAAAUGAGAAAGCGAAGAGAUAAAUACAAGAAAAAAAAAUUGUUAAUGAUUGUUGAUGCAACGAUUUAAAAAAUGAGCACCGUACGAUGCCUUCCGUGAACGACCGAGCUUGCCUAGUUACCGAAAUAACAUAUUCAAUAAUUCAAUAAUUCGAUCUCGAAAAGAAUUCUCUCGUUGAAAGUAACAUUAUUCCCGCGAUGCUUCCCCCAUCUAUUGAUCAUUUGUUUUCUCUAUCAUGGACAAUAAAUAUAGAACGAAUAAAUAGUACCAUAAACUAUAUAAAUACAGUAGAGAUUCUUCGUAUAAUUAUAAUAUAAAAAACAUUUUAAUAUCAGUAGAAAUGUGUAUUCUAUUCAUGACAAAGGUGUUCUAUGAAUUUCAUAAGAAUGUUUUGUGAUUUUUUUUAUACAAAAAGCGCGCGGGAAUAAUAAAAUGUUUGCUUUAAACUAUAAUCGACGAACACUGGUGGUUAUGCUAUCGAGCUUUCCAUAACUACGUUACAUAAGCAUCAGAAUCGUGCGUGUGUGCGUGUAUUGUAUAGAUUAGAGAGCAUAAGCAUUAAUACAAUAGUAUAUAUAUAUAUAUAUAAAAAUCGUAAGUGUG